UGAGGUCGGUCCUCUGCUGGGGGCGGGAGGAAGAGGGGCAGGACUGGGGCCUGACGAGCCGUCGCUGCCGCCGCUGUCUUCGCGGCUGCUAUGACCAGCGGGCGAGGCGCCCUCCGCAGCUCUGCGCAGCGCUAGUCGCGGCCGUGCGCCAGCCGUAGCCGUCUGGGUCCCCAGCGCAGCCGCUCCCGCGGCUCCCUCGGCUCUUCCAGCGCCGCUUGCGAGACGAGGCGGAGGCAGGAUGAAGAUGACGGUGGAUUUCGAAGAGUGUCUGAAGGACUCGCCCCGCUUCAGGGCUGCUUUGGAAGAAGUAGAAGGAGAUGUGGCAGAAUUGGAACUGAAACUUGAUAAGCUUGUGAAGCUAUGUAUUGCAAUGAUUGAUACUGGAAAAGCCUUUUGUGUUGCAAAUAAACAGUUCAUGAAUGGGAUUCGAGACCUGGCACAGUAUUCUAGCAAUGAUGCUGUAGUUGAGACAAGUUUGACCAAAUUUUCUGACAGUCUUCAAGAAAUGAUAAAUUUUCACACAAUCCUAUUUGACCAAACUCAGAGAUCGAUUAAGGCACAGCUUCAGAACUUUGUCAAAGAAGAUCUUAGAAAAUUCAAAGAUGCCAAGAAGCAGUUUGAAAAAGUCAGUGAAGAAAAAGAAAACGCAUUAGUAAAAAAUGCUCAAGUACAGAGAAACAAACAGCAUGAAGUUGAAGAAGCCACAAACAUUCUGACAGCAACAAGGAAAUGUUUUCGACAUAUAGCCCUAGAUUACGUACUUCAGAUUAACGUCCUUCAAUCAAAAAGGAGAUCAGAAAUCCUGAAAUCAAUGUUAUCCUUUAUGUAUGCCCAUUUGGCCUUCUUUCAUCAAGGAUAUGAUCUAUUUAGUGAACUUGGGCCCUACAUGAAGGAUCUUGGUGCACAGUUGGAUCGACUGGUUGUGGAUGCAGCAAAGGAGAAAAGAGAAAUGGAGCAAAAACAUUCCACCAUUCAACAAAAGGCUGCAUUACAGGAUUUCUCCAGUGAUGAUUCUAAGCUAGAAUAUAAUGUAGAUGCUGCAAAUGGCAUUGUUAUGGAAGGUUAUCUGUUCAAACGAGCCAGCAAUGCCUUCAAAACUUGGAACAGGAAAAAGCCCGAUCAUAUCAGACGCUGGUUUUCAAUACAGAAUAAUCAGUUGGUUUACCAGAAAAAGUUUAAGGAUAAUCCCACUGUGGUGGUAGAAGAUCUAAGGCUCUGUACAGUGAAACAUUGUGAGGACAUAGAACGACGAUUCUGCUUUGAGGUGGUCUCUCCAACAAAAAGUUGUAUGCUUCAGGCAGAUUCUGAAAAGCUGCGCCAGGCAUGGAUUAAGGCUGUUCAGACCAGUAUUGCUACUGCUUAUAGAGAGAAGGGUGAUGAAUCGGAGAAGCUGGAUAAGAAAUCAUCUCCAUCCACGGGAAGCCUGGAUUCUGGAAAUGAGUCAAAAGAUAAAUUAUUGAAAGGAGAAAGUGCAUUGCAGCGAGUCCAGUGUAUUCCUGGCAAUGCCAGCUGUUGUGACUGUGGUCUGGCAGACCCACGGUGGGCCAGCAUCAACCUGGGCAUCACCCUGUGUAUCGAGUGUUCUGGGAUUCACCGGAGUCUUGGAGUUCACUUUUCAAAAGUACGAUCUUUAACUUUAGACACCUGGGAGCCUGAACUUUUAAAGCUUAUGUGUGAGUUGGGGAAUGAUGUUAUGAAUAGAGUUUAUGAAGCUAAUGUGGAAAAAAUGGGAAUAAAGAAACCGCAACCAGGACAAAGACAGGAGAAAGAGGCGUAUAUCAGAGCAAAAUAUGUGGAGAGAAAAUUUGUGGAUAAAUAUUCUAUAUCAUCAUCACCUCCUGAGCAGGAAAAACAGAUUGUCUCCAAAAGUUGUGAAGAAAAGAGGCUGAGCAUUUCUAAACUUGGGCCAAGUGAACAAGUUAGAGCAUCUCCCCAAAGUUCAGUGAUUGCUGUAAAUAGCGACGAGGCCAGGAGGGAGUCUCUGUUCUGUCCUGAUGAGCUAGAUUCACUCUUCUCCUACUUUGAUACUUCUUCAAAACUACGUAGUAUCAAAAGUAAUGACAGUGGAAUCCAGCAGAGCUCUGAUGAUGGAAGAGAAUCUUUACCUUCCACAGUGUCAGCCAAUAGUUUAUAUGAGCCGGAGACAGAAAGGCAGGAUUCUUCUGUGUUUCUCGACUCUCAACAUCUUAAUCCAGGACUCCAGCUUUACAGGGCUUCGUAUGAAAAAAAUCUUCCUAAAAUGGCUGAAGCUUUGGCUCAUGGCGCAGAUGUGAACUGGCCUAAUUCUGAGGAAAACAAAGCAACACCACUUAUUCAGGCUGUAUUAGGGGGCUCUUUGGUGACAUGCGAGUUUCUCCUUCAGAAUGGUGCUAAUGUGAACCAGAGAGAUGUGCAAGGGCGGGGACCACUGCACCAUGCCACUGUCUUAGGGCACACGGGGCAGGUAUGUUUAUUCCUAAAACGAGGUGCCAAUCAACAUGCCACUGAUGAAGAAGGGAAGGACCCUUUGAGUAUAGCUGUGGAAGCAGCCAACGCUGAUAUAGUGACCUUGUUACGUUUAGCAAGAAUGAAUGAAGAGAUGCGGGAAUCAGAAGGACUUUAUGGACAGCCAGGUCAAUAUUCUACUAAUAACCAUACUGAAAUGCAGUAUAAGAAAUGCAUCCAGGAAUUUAUCAGUUUACAAUUGGAAGAUUCAUAGUUCUUUAGCAAACUAACUUAAUGCUACAGAGUUUUUAUAAAUUACUUGUAAAUUGUGAGUUGUUAGGUAUAUAUACUGUACUUACUGAAUUCUUGGGAGUGGCUCACUCCCGAGCCUUUAAAAAUCCGUAACUAUUCCUAUUACAGAACACAUUUACUUGCUGUAUCUAACUCUGGCUGCUGACUUCUUUAUCUGCUGUACAGAUGUCUUCCAUAUACAUUCCAGAGAGGCGAAUGGAAUGAUAACAUAUCUUUAUACACUUACAGCAGCACAGCAGUCAUUUUCUUUUUGGCUGUCAAGUGAAUAUAACAAAAUUGUUUUCUUUUUGUUAUUCAGGGAAUUUCUAUAAAUUGUGUUCAGGGAAAAAAACAAAUCACUAUGUGUUGACAUAUAAAAGUCAGUAUGGAAAAUGCCUAGAAGAAGUUUAUUAAAUUAAGAGUUCCGUAUUUGAUCUAAAAAUGAGUGGAAGGUUUAAGAAUAAAAUUUACCAGUAGGUUAAGAAGUCCAUAAUGCAAAUGGAGUUAGUUUAAAAGGUAUAGGGAAAAGGUCAAAUUUUAUCUUGUACCUUUGCCCCAAGUAAUUGUACAAUAUCUGUUGGAUAAAUGGAAGUAUUUAGAAGAAUAUUUCAUGAGCUUGAUGGAUGGCAAAGUAGACGUAUUCUUAUUAGAGAGAACUCAGGAUCAGCUCAAUUCUCAUUCUGAGUAAUUUUUGAGUCGAGAUGUCAAGAAAAGCAAGAAAUGUUGCUGAUCAGAUUUCUUUCUUUGAUGAACAUAUCCUGAUUAGACAUUCUUCACAAAGAAGAGAGUAAUAAUUAGAUCUCCAGUUUCAUGAAUUUGAGUAUAUGAAUUACUAAUUUAUCUGUUUUAAAUUCAUAUACAUGCUGGUUAAAAAUUUUAGGAAUUCAUGACUAAAAUAAUUGAGAAUGUUCAGUUUUAAGUGAGUAUGUUUGAUUUUUUUUCAAUGACUACUAAUAUAUUAUUUUAAAAGUGGCUUGUGAUAUCAUCUAUCUUUCCUGUUUAAGUAUGUUUUGAAAUUUCUGCACUUUAUGCUAGCUUCAGCCAUUUACUUUUAUUUUAGCCAGAUUAAUAUAUAACUAAGAUAAAUAUGGGGCCAUUCCUUUCUCAGAGGACUGUAUUUAUGACUUAUUUUUGGUCUACUUUAAUAGGAACAAAUAAGAACUUUGAGAAUAGAGGCACUUCAGCUAGAUACUUCUAAUCUAGGGUGUCCCACUUUAAUCCUAUGGAUCAAACAGUACUACUGACUCAUGAUGUACCAAGAUGUAAGAGUGCUGAUUAAGGGUGAAGUCUCAGCGUUAAUUCUGAAUUUCACCCAUUUGUUUUAAACUUGAAUGUUAGACUUUAAAUACAUUAUAAUUUUGUAACAGAUAUACACAUAAGUGAUAGUAUUACUAGGCCAUUUUUGAGGCCUUUAUGUUUAAGCACUUUAAAAUGAAAAUUAUUCAAAGACUAUGACCUGAUUCGUGAGGUAAGAGUGAACUUCAAGAUUUUAAGUUAAACAGUUUUUUUUUUCCUGACAUUUUAAGUGUAAAUGUUUUCUUAAGGUGUUUGCUGAUGAAGCUGCACCCAGCUGAUUAGUCAGAAGGUCGGUGGGUGACUUUUCUCUGGAGCUGGGAAGCUUGGAAGGACAGGUCUUCUUAUGUUCUUGCAGCUUCUAGUUCCACCUAAACUGCUCGGGCUUCUGCCCCCAUCUAGGAGCAUUCAAAUGUCUCUUUCACUGUCAUUUUAUGUAUACGUUUAUGAGUAUAUACCUUCCGCUCAACAGUAGAAAAACAGAUUUUUCCAAUUUAUUUGAAUGAAAAUUUGAAGAAAAGGCUUAUUUAAAAAAAAAAAAGCUUGGGCUUCCCUGGUGGCGCAGUGGUUGAGAGUCCGUCCGCCUGCCGAUGCAGGGGACACAGAUUCGUGCCCUGGUCCGGGAAGACCCCACAUGCUGCAGAGCGGCUAGGCCCGUGAGUCGUGGCUGCUGAGCCUGCGCGUCCGGAGCCUGUGCUCCGCAGCAGGAGAGGCCACAACAGUGAGAGGCCCGCGUACUGCAAAAAAAAAAAUAAUAAAAGUAAAAAAACAAGCUUUCCUACCACUCAAAUUUUAGCUUAGAAAAGAUUAAAAAAUAGAUCAGAAGUCUGGAAAUGGUAUAUCAGCAGAAUAAAAUGAGAUUCUGAUUUGGUAAUAAUUAGAUUUUAAAUUCAUUUGGGGGUCUCGUAGUUAAAGCAGAACAACUUUAUACUUAUACAGAUGACAUGGUAAAAUGGCUCAGCAAUUGCUCUCUGGCUUCUUUUCCUUUAUGAGUCUUGGGAGAGCAGAUAUUUUUGCUCAGGCAGCAGGUCUUUUUUCUUCUCUGCUUAUCGCUGUAAAUUUCCCUCAUAGAUUUUGGUUGGUUGUUUUAUCUAGAUCCUUUUUUUGUUGCCUAGCAAUAGAAGGAAAACUUCAGAAUUCUGGGUAGUUUUAAAAGGCGGGUAUUUUCAAUUUUUUCAUUAUGAAGAGCCCUACCGUUAAAAGACUCAGAUAUAAUCUUUGGGAAUGAUGGACCUAUGUCUAGGAAACCCCACUUUUGAACUUUCUGUCUACAACUCUAUGGACCUGAGACUCCCUGUUUUUUGCAAGGCGACUUAAGAGCACACAUUUCCUGAAGGGAAGAUGUAUCCUUCUUUGUCAGUUCCCACAACUCAUAGGACUGGGUGGGUGGGUGCAACAUCACGCCGUUCUCUCAAUUGUUGGAAACCAGUUUGGUGGUUCCCACAGUCUCUGGCUCUGUGACGACUCUUGAUUGUUGGCAGAGUUUCUCAGCCAGUUGAAAAUCACUGCUUUAGUGAACCACUACUGGUUACGUGAGUAUGUUGCUGAUGAAGAUUGAUCAUUGAUCUAAUCAGUUACAAAAAGGAAGCUGUAAUCAGCCCAGAAGGGGCAGGAUCAUACACUGAUCACCUGGGAGUAGGGUCUCACAAGCUGUCAUAUCUUUGAGGGGAGUACAUUUUGAGAGCAAAAUUAGCAAAAUCUUGGAUCAUCACUGCUGUUGCAGUGCUUAUUCUGAAUACCAAAAAUCAAGAACUGUUUUAAGCUAUCAGUGGAAAUAUAGCAGUCCACAUUUCAAAAAACUCAGAACUGUCCAGGCACAUGGAAAAGUUAACUUUCUGAAGAGAAAUAAAAUGUGAUGAAGUAAUUUAAAGAAUAUAACUUAGUAUUACAAAUAUUGGGUGGUUAGUUGUUUACUGUUUAUAAUAGACUGUUAAAUGUACUCAUAUGAACUUUCCAGGGCAACAUAUUCUGGGUCAUUGUUUAUGUAUUGUAGUGUAGACAAGUUAUAUUUGCCGUGGGAAACAUUCUAAAUGAUGAAAAUUGUAUUUAAAGAAUCAUAUUGAAGUUCAAUUUGUGUUAACUAUAUUAAAUAUCUUAGUCACUAUUGUUAUCGUAACGUUUGCUUUUUGACAACACAUUUUGAGGCCUAAGAAAGGUAUUAUAUUGAUAAGUCCCUUAAUUAACAUUUGGUUAGAAACUGAAUGUUAACAAAAAGUUUUGUGUAUGUGUGUGAAGGUGAGACUUCCUUUUGUAUUGUAUUAACUCUUUUAAAAUGUAUUCGGUAAGUGAAACCAAUGAGUAGUGUAGCACCAACACUUUCCUUCAAGGAAGCAUUUAAUUCAGUGAAUUAAAAAAAUCUUAUAAUUUGUUUUGCAUGGUACAAUGGUUCUACUAAAAUGUACUUGUGUAGUAGAUACUUUAAAAACAAAAACUGGGAAACCACAAAAAGGAAAAAAAAAAAUCUCACAACCUGUUAUACAAAAUAUGCAUUGCUAAUAGUAGAAGCCAUAUAUUGCCAUUGUACUGUUGUAAUACUUAAGAUUGCUCACCUGGUGCUAUCUGUAAACUAUUUGGCAUUAGCAUCUAUUAGAUACUUCUUCCUAUUUCUUCUUGAAUGUAUAAUGUGUGCCUUUUAAGUUAUUUCUGGUGUUGAAUGGUAAAAUCAGUGUGGUAUUUUUGUAUUAUAAUCUGCACUUUACACUUUCUUCGAAAGUAAAACUCCAGACUCUCCAGUUUAAAUAGUAUUUUUAAAAUAUUUAUAAUGUUUACAAUAAAUAUUUUAAAUAUUUGAAUUCAACAUCUAAGAAUAAGAAAAAAGUUUAAAUAUUUUAUAUGGUUUGUUAAGUGAUGUUUAAUGUUUGUCUCUUCUCAGUUUAUUUUAUAUCUUUUAGAGUGGCUAAUAAUGGGAAUAGAUUGUAGUUUGUCUUUUAAUGUGGGGUAAACUUUUAUGAAAUGAAACAUGGGUGUAAUUGAAUUGUCUUACCCAUUGUUCCACCAUAUCAACCUUUAUUGUUUUAGUAACAAUAAUAUGAGUUAGAUGUUACUCUUAGCCAACCUAUUAAGAUUCUCUUCUUACCGUAUUUUUUCUUUUUAAAGUAGAUUGAUUGAUUCAGGUCAUGAGAAAAAUUCCAGGGCUAAAUGAAAAACUACAUAGAGAUUUUAAUAACUUGCUUUUUACAUUGACUAAAUAUUAAAAGCAUUAACUUUUUUUUAUUGAAAAUCUUGGUUUAUGCUAUUAGACCUUUUACUAGAUCUGUAUCCCCCUCCCCCAGAUUUUUUCUAAUUCUCUGGCUUUUGGUAUGACAUCUGUUGCCUCAAAAAAAUCUCACUUUUUAAAAGCUGACAAAACUUACUGCACUAUUAACAACAACUGUAGCAAUGAGUGUAUAAUAAGAUGGAUGCAAGGUAUCUUAUGGGGAAUAAUUAUAAAACAAUGUUCCAACACUAAUCAUCUAAAACAGUAUUUGACAGUCUAAAUUCUGUUUUCUAAAUCAGAAAACAGAAUUAUGCCCAGCUUCUGCAUAAAGCUAAUAUGUUUAACAGGAAGCAUUCAUGAUGAAUGAUUCAUCUUGAAAAUAAGAUUUCAUUUUAUACAAAUGUUUUGUCUGAGGAGUUAGCCUUUAUGUGUGUUAUAUAUUUAGUUUUUCAUUGCAAGAAAAAUAGUAUUCAAUCCACUAUAAUACCAGUAUCUACAAUCUUCUCUACAAGCAUAUUUGUACGUAUAAACAUUUGUAUUACUCUAAUUUAACAGAUGUCUUUGAUAUUUAUUCCCCUUUUGUCAUAGCAUCCUUGCUCAUAUGACCUACACUAAAUGAAAAACUGACUAAAUGUGAAAUGAUUUUAAAGUCAUUUUCUAGGCUUUAUUUUAUAAGCCUAGUAAAAAGUGGAUUAGGUGCAUUAGUUUGAGUUAAGAAUUAAAGUUUGAGUAAAGACUUACUUUUUCACAUGCUAUUUAAAUUAAAAUGCCUUUAAUUAAAAGAUAAUAUUAAAAUAUGAGGCUUUUUUUCCCACAUGGUUAUUAGUUUUGUCUUGCUAAUAACUUGCAUCCAACAGAAACAUUAGUGUUUGUUUUUGGUCUUUUCUUUUGGCCUUGAUCAAGGGAAAUAUUUAUUUAAAGAAUGCUUUGUUUAUUUAGAAUGACGUGAUUUACCUCAUUUAGAAUGACUUUUAUUUCUCAUGUGUUAAUAAAUGUAUUUCUUUAUAUUGCUUUAAAACACUUGCAUCUUUGCUCUUUUCUAACUCUGAACUUUCCUCUGUGGCUGCAUCUGAGGUGCUUUUUUCAGGUGAUGAAACUUACCAGGAUAUUUUUCGUGAUUUCUCCCAAAUGGCAUCCAAUAAUCCAGAGAAACUAAAUCGUUUCCAGCAAGAUUCACAGAAAUUUUGAGUUUUUUUAAGAAGGGGAAAAUAGUAAAUCUGGUGACUCCCUAAAGUAUACAUUUGAAAGCUCACAGAUUUUUACUUCUUUAAUUCUACUUACUUACUUUUAGUAGCUAUUGAGUUUUUUGGGAAAAAGGUACCCGUUCAUUGAUAUUUUUAUAAAUCAAAACAUAGAUCUCUAGUAGUUGGGAGAGGAACCUACUUUAAGACUUCUUUUAUUAAAAUUUUUUUUAAAGCCUGUUUAAAGGGCUAUUUUUUAUAGAUUAAAAUUUAAAUCUAGACUUAGGCCAUCUCUAGGUUACAAGAUGCUAAGAGUUUAGACAAAAUAAUCUUUUUUUCCCAGUGGGUGGUAGCAUUGAAUUUUUUCUUCUGUGCACUGUGCCCAGGAUCGUUCAAUCAAGCAUAUCGGCGUCGAGUGGGAGCCUGAUGUCCUGCCUGACUUGAGAAUAUGUCUUUGCUUUAGCUUCCCUGAUGUUGGUGAUUCCGAAAUAGUUUUUUUCUGUUUGUUUGUUUGUUUCUUGGUAGCCUAGCUGUCAUAUACACAAUAUGUAAUUUAAUUAUUAGAACUAGAGAAUGUAUGCCCCCCCAUUUGCUCAAAAAUGCAGUUAUAUUCCUCAGUUAUUGUCCAGUACUUUAACGUACAUACAGUGGCUGUACAGAUUGACAUAACUCAGUCCUUUAGAUUUAUUCCAUUUUAUGAAGGAAAAAAAAAACAACCCUUGACAAUAGUUGUUUUUUAAUUACCAAAAGAAUCUCAUAGAAGUUGUAGUUCUUCAUUGUUUAGUUGAUUUCCUAAAACCUUGACAAAUUUAUUGAUGUAACAAAACUGUGUUUCAAAGGUUACUUGAAUGUUGCAAAAUUAUGCUUUCAUCAGUUGUAACUAUCAAAGGAAAAGUUGACUUAUAAAAUAAUGUAGAACAUUUUUAUAUUUGAAGUGUGUCCUUUUCCAGAUACAAUUUUGCUAUUGCUCCUAGUGAAAGGAAAAAUAUCUCUGUAAAAGGAGUAAAAAAGACUCAAGUUUUUUUAGUUUAUACUAAAAUAUACAGCAAUAAAUUGCUUUUUAAUUCUUCUAACAUCUCCUGUGUACUUGUUGUACACGGUAUACAUUCUUUUAAAUUAUAGCAUCUAUAUAGCUUUAGUAUUUGGUUACAUGAAUCACAGACCCUUGAAUUCCAAAAUAUUAUGGGUAUACUGAUUUUCCAGGUAUAUGCUACAGAUUAGUCUGAUUCUAUCUUUGAUUGACAUAUCUUGUCAGGAGUAUAAAAUAAGUAAUUUGCCUUAUGGUUUCUUUCUGAUAUUGUCAUAAUUAAGUUUAACUUUCUUUUUCAAGUUACAUGUAAGUAAUAUUAUUGAUACUCAGUUUCUAAAUGAGAGGUUUUUAAACUUGAGUUGCCAAAUGAGUACAGAAAUUAUAUUUCAUUGGGUAGAUAAUAAAUUUUCUAACAUUUUCCCACCAGUAAGUAGAGUUUUCUAAGUUGACUGAACAUCAAAUCAGAAUCUGUCUAAACAGGAAUUAUACUGACAUAAAUUCAUAUCACAGAAAAGGUUCCAUAUUUGUUUGGCCAAAUUGCAUGCAUAUAAUGCUUAUUUAGUAAUAAUUGCUGUGUAUUAGAUAAGGAUACAAAUAUAUUUAGGGAUUAUUUCUAAGGAAAUGCUAACUUCCAAAGCCUUGUAUUUUAAUUGCAACAAUACCAGGAACCUUAAAUCUUUCCUGUUUCACCUCAGAGUCACAGGUCACCGGGCUUUGCAAAAGUCUGAUUUGUAGCAUUUUUGUUAGUGUACUUUGAAAUUAAUUGUCCGAAAAUCUCAAGGAGAAGGAAAUAUGUUGAGAAAAGAAAGAAACAAAGAAAGGAAGAAAGAAAAAAAGAGAAAAGAGUGCCUCACUUUUCCUUUGUAGUGCCUAUUCCUGUUUUGCUUCUAGGAAUUCAUCUGACCUUUAUCUGAGGAAGCCUAGGCAGUUUACCUUUUGGAUACAACCUUUGGUCUUCAGAUCACUUCUGGGAUCUCUGGUUGUAAAAGCAAUUCUUGAUCAUACUCUUAACUCCUGUGGCUUCAGUCAUGAGUUGUUAAUGUGGCAGUAAUUAGUGUCUACUUAAAUUUAAUUGUUAGAGAUGUAUUUGAAGUACACUAAAGAUCAUGGUUCUGAAUAUCUUCAGAGAAAGUGAAAUCUUUAACAGUACAGGGAGCCUGUACGUACAAAAAUAUACUUCUGUGGCUUGACUUCUUGAAUAUGCGGAGACCCAAUUUGGAUUAAAUUUGGCAGAAAUGAUGCAGGAGUAACAGCAAGGUUUUAAAGUAAAUUAAUGGUUACAAGUAGUUAUAGAGUAGGUUGGCUCUUAACCAAGGUGAAUUAGCUGUGUCAACUAAUAGCCUUUCUGUAGUAUGUAACAAAUCUUAGUUUCAUUAUGCUGUGAAUUAUUCAGUAUCAUAUGAUAAAUUAUAGUUUAAACAACGUUAGUCAUACUCUUGGGCUUCAGAAAUCAAUUUGACUGUCCUUUGUUUUCAUUCCCUCACUGAUCUGCUGGUAUUAGUUUCUGAUUCCUUGUCAUUAUUCCAUUAACUCAUUAACUUAAAAGUUAGAGUAAUCUGAAAAUAAGAAUAGCAGUACUAUGAGGAAUUCAUAAAAUACAGUUUCAUGUUAGAACUAGACUAAAGGUAAUUGCAUAGUUAUUUGCAAUUUUUUCAUUGUAACACUUACAUGUUUAAGAUUUCUAAGGUUUUAAAAAUUACCUUUGGUACAAUCCUUAGAAAUUCAGAAAUUUCCAGGGAUUCACUAUAUUACAUUGUUUACCUAAUUUAUACUGGUCUUUGUAGAUUUUAAUCAACUUUGGUGUUUACUUUGUAAAACAUACAGAUUUUAUUUGGAAUAUUACUUUGGUUCUUCAUGGGUGCAUUUUGAAAAAAACUUAUACUUUCACAGUCUGGACAGCUUAAGUUUGUGAUGUGUUAAAGCAGUAUUUUAAAAAUAUAAUUUUACACAUGUGAAGUGGGGUCACGAUAAACCAAAUUGUAUUUAAGAUUAAAUUUACUAUCCAUUUUGAAUAAGACAUUCCCAUAUCACUCUUACAUUGUGGAAUUAACUUUUCUGUUUGGUAGCACUUUCGACUAUGGACAUGAGCUGGAAAAAUGCUAUAUUUUUAUAGAAUUGUCUGUUCAGAAUGACUUCAGACCUGCAUGAUAUAGUGGAAAGAGCACUGACUAGUUACUUACUACUCUUACUGGAUUCAGAGCUCCUCACAAAUACAAUGAGUGGGACGAAACAAGGUGAAACUGUAACAGCAUCCCUUGGUGUACUGUUCCGCUGCUCACAUCUGCUCACAGUGUGCUUUGCCGUUACUCACAGUAGGACUUCUGAGAUCUUAAUCUAAGAGCACCGACAGUGUCUCUUCUUUGAUCCUGGGCUGCUCCUCUUGUUUGACAGAGCAGGUCACUGGUUUGCUGGUUGGUGGCGUAGCUGACACCAGAACCCCUGUCUGACUAGUAGUCAGAGGCACUUUACUCAUAUCAUGAAAUGAUUUGAAAUCAUUGUAAAGCAGCAAAAUUGGAUAAUGACUGCCAGCUUUCCUUGUUCUUUGAUAACAAAGACUCCAAGUAUUCUGGAGAACCUGGAUAUAAAGUUACUUUGAAGGACUAGAUUAGGGUUUAAAUACGUUAAAUUGUAGGGAAUUGUAUAUAUUUGCAAUAACAAACAUUGAUGAAGGCAAAACGUUGUAAAGGCAAUUCUCGUUCACAUAUGCUUAUCAAUUUCUUGAUGCUUCUAAACGAAGACAACUGAAAGGGGCAUGGAUUCAGUUUGGCCAAAUCCUGACAUCUAUAAAUAUGAUUUUGGGGGCAUCCUUUUCUAUUUACAUAAAUUAUCUACUAAAAUAAGGUAAUGGGGGGAGGGAAGUAAGGUUUGAUUAAGUAAACUUUUCUCUACAUUGCUCUUUUCACUAUCUUAUGUACUAGAUUUUCUUAUUUUUCCUCAACACACCUCCCACCUUUUGGGUGUUCAUUUUAAACAGGGAAAGCUCGCUACAUUAUAAAGAAUGUUGGCACCAUUUAUUUUACACAAAGGCUAAAGGUUAACUUUUGGAAGUGAUGAGCUACUUUUCUAUAUGUGUUUACUCGUGCUUUGUGAUAUUUCUGGAUCAUUCCAGUCAUAAAGACUUAUUACAUGUAAUAUUUCCUGCUACCUGUGAAAAGGUGUAUUUUAAAGAAUGUAUAACCAACAAUCCAUUUACUUUUUAUUAGUAUGUAGAGGAUUUAUUUGUAUCUAAUUCAUGAAUGUAGUUUUACUGUAGGAUGUCACUGUAAAUGGAACAAAGUACAUUAUCUUUAUAGUUAUUCUAAAAUGUAUAUUAUGUAAGAAUUGUAAAUAUUAUACCUGAUUAAACUCUUUGUAUGCCAAGAAAUUAUGUCAAGUCAAUAAAAAUCUCACCUCUGGCAUA